rnacentral:rRNA from 1 species
UACGGGGGGGGUAAGCGUUGUUCGGAAUUACUGGGCGUAAAGGGCUCGUAGGCGGCCAACUAAGUCAGACGUGAAAUCCCUCAGCUUAACUGGGGAACUGCGUCUGAUACUGGAUGGCUGGAGUUUGGGAGAGGGAUGCGGAAUUCCAGGUGUAGCGGUGAAAUGCGUAGAUAUCUGGAGGAACACCGGUGGCGAAGGCGGCAUCCUGGACCAACACUGACGCUGAGGAGCGAAAGCCAGGGGAGCAAACGGG